AGUAGUGGUUGCAGGUGUGAGCCCAUGGGAUUAGAACGGCCCAAAUCCCAGGAGGAGAGUGGGGAUUUUUCCGCAUGGGCGAAGCCCGAGGAGCAAACCGCGUGAGGGUGGAGGUUUUGGAUGUAUCCUCUUUUCUCAGGAAGAUUUUUGACGGUACCUGAGGAAUAAAGCACCGGCUAACUUCCGUGCCAGCAGCCGCGGUAAUACGGAGGGUGCAAGCGUUAUCCGGAAUUUAUUUGGGCGUAAAGAGUCCGUAGGUGGUCAUGCAAGUCUGCUGUCAAAGCCCACAGCUUAACUGUGGAUAGGCGGUGGAAACUGCAUGACUUGAGUACGGUAGGGGUAGAGGGAAUUCCCAGUGUAGCGGUGAAAUGCGUAGAUAUUGGGAAGAACACCGGUGGCGAAAGCGCUCUACUGGACCGUAACUGACACUGAGGGACGAAAGCUAAAGGUAGCGAAAGGGAUUAGAUACCCCUGUAGUCUUAGCCGUAAACGAUGGAUACUAGGCGUUGUCUGUAUCGACCCGGACAGUGCCGAAGCU
rnacentral:rRNA from 1 species